GUUAUCUGAUUGGCACACCGUAACUGCUCUAUUUCGUGCAUUUACACUUAAGCCUCUAAUAAUAGUUCUUUGAAAAGCACUGUCUUGUAUUUAACUGAUGAUUGGCUCCAGCAAUUAAAUCCUACCACACUUUAGAAUGCUGGACUAUUCUGCUGCUUCCCAGAGUUGGAAAGAAAGGAGUUGACUCACAUCUUACCCAUCUCACUCCAGAUACAGAGCCUCCCUCGAAUGCAGAGUUAACAGUGGGGUUGUGUUUCUGAUCAACAGAAGCUGCUGGAUUACACCUUGUCCACAGAUAUAAAAAGGCUUCCCAGGAGCAGUCAUUUCUAACCUCUACUACGCAUCAGAGUCAUCCAGAGAGCUUGUUAAAACACAGAUUUCUGCGUCCCACCCUCAGAGUUUGCUGACUGAGAAGGUCUGGGUUGGACCAAAGAAUCUGCAUUUUUUAAAAGUUCCAUGGUCUAGGACCACACUUUGAGAACUGCUGUUCCAAAGAACCACCUGCUUUAUACUCUGGUUUCUCUUCGGAUCAUAUAAAUCUGCCUUUUAAAAAAGCACCUGUUGGAUCUAUGAAACUGAUGCAGCCGGUAGUUUCUCAUUAUGGUCUCAUUACCCUUUACAUUGAAAAAUACAAAGCCACUUCAAUUGCCAUUUCACAGUACAGCCCAUGGCCUGGAACGGGCACAGCUGCCCUCUUUAGGUUGAAAAUAUUUGGCAAAUAAGGAAUGCUGGCAAGAGAGGCUGCAGUUUUGACACCUACACCUUGAUUUGGGAUUCAUUUUUCUCACUCAGGAUUUGGCAAGCGUAUGUCUUCUUUAAAGUGAGACUGAAAAUAAGCUCUGACUCACAAACCUAGCUUAAAACACCACAAAGAGUAAACAACUAUUUCCAUAACUAAUAAUUAUUAAAAUAUGUUUUUGAGUUUUUGCAUAACUUGCCUGUAUAAUGAGAUCUAAGUAUUUACAUGGAAUUUCUACAUUACUGUGUGAAUAAAUUAACAGAACUAAAACCUGCCUCCUGACCUCUAGCCUCUCCCUGAUGUCAGCCUGUGCUCAACCCUG
rnacentral:lncRNA from 10 species